CAGCUAGGUACAACAUUGGUGCAGUUAUCUUGCUCUGGGCACCUGUAGUCUUGAUUGCAUUGUGGAAUAUGCAUCCAUUAUUUAAAGAAAGGACGACAUUCCAAACACUCACACUUUCUCUCCUUGCUAGCUAAAUUGGCUGACAAACUAAAGAAGUCAGUGGAGGAUGAAAUUCAUUUUCUUAAGGGAAGGGUUUCAGAACUUGAAAGUGAUCUUGUGUCGAAGUCCACAGAAGUUACAUCUGCAGUUUCAAGGAAAGAAGAAGCUCUAUCUUCUGCAUUUGCUGAAAUUGACCGUCUGAAGGAAGAAAAUUUUGUAAAAAUGUGAGCAUUAUUGAAUGCAUAUGGAGGGUGUUUACUAUGUUG